GUUUUUUAAUCUUAUUUUUACUAAAACACUUAGUCUUGAGAAUUUUCACGAUUUCCCAUAAUCGUAACUUCCAACAACCACUGCUUUCUCCUCCAAACAUUGAUUAAAGAUCCGUUUACUUUUAUAACUUCGUUUAUCCACCAGCACUUAUUACCUGGCUGUCCCCAUAGCUUCAAAAUUUUACUCAAAAAUUCUUCGCUUAAUGAGGAGCUCUCGACUGUUGUUAUGAUAUACGACAUUAAGCUCAUUAAUUUUGGCUCCUUUACUCUCUUGGCCCAUUUAUCGUUGUAGCGAAAUCCACAAUGCUGUAAUGCAUCAACUAGCGGUCCAUCACUCAGCCCUUUUCGGAUUUUUUUUUUGUCUGCACUUUCAAAAACGUCGUUGUUCUUGAAAGUUUGCUCUAAUAAGUCGCUCCUGAUUUUUUGGUCGACGGGCUUUUUAUUUUCAGAAAAUAAAUAGAUAUUGCAACAUUCUGUUAAGAAUAAAACGAGGGUAGUAUUCGAUAUAGGAUUAAAUGCAAUUUUUGAGGGAUAAGCAUUAUUACUUUUUUUAAAUAAUGGUAGAUAGGUGUCCAAAAUCCAUUUACAAAUGGAAGGGUCGAUUUUGUGGCAUUUGAAACAUGAUGAGACAUCACCUCCCUCAUGUUUUAAAAGCAGAUGAAACCCAUUAGGAAAUAGAAGUGCCAACACGGUAGUUGGUAAUAUUGGAAGUUCAACGCGAUCAAUGACUAUUAGUUUGCCCCGGAUGUUGAAAUGUAUUUUUUCUGGAAAAAACUUUAAAUUACUUUCCAGUGUAUUGGCUAAAGUGUCAACCGUAUUGAUUCGAUCAAUUGGAACUGACAUUUUUGUGUUCUAUUUUUGUAACGAUUAUGUUAUAAAAGAAUGUUCAUUUUUUAUUUACAAGAUAUCACCAAUGCAUACUUGGCUUUUGGUAAAAAUGUUAGGUGCAAAUUUCUAAAGGAUCGCCAAUAGCGGAAGCUAUCGGAAAGGUCUUACAAAAUCUUUUACGCGCAAUAGUAAAAACAGGUAGAAAAAGCCAUUCGUCGGUUAAGAGAGCUCUUUGGGCAUUCUUUGUUACGUGUAAAACUUUUUAUUGUAUUUUUUUCCAUUUCAAUACCCAACUGGUAUAUCCAAAAUUCAGUCCACUAAAGUAUGUCGGAUUCUAAUAAAAAUGCACUACCAUCAUAGAUCAACAAAAUAUAUAUUUAAUAGUGACAGAGGUAAUAUAAAUAUAAAGAUAAAUAAGUACACUUAUAUAUGUAACAGUUACUCAAAGCAUUACUUUUCUUUCUGCGAAUGAUUGAUAAGCGACAGUCGAUUAAACAAAGUUAGGGCAAUUCAUAAACCGGUUUUAUUAUAUUAUAUAUAAAAUUUUUACAAAAAUGCUAGCACGAAUAUAUCCCAACCGAUCCUAUGCAUAUUCGUACGUCAAGCCUUGGAGAAUUUGGUGAAUAAACAACCCGAAAGAUUCUCCCCGAAUUAUUGGUGGCAGAGUCGGUUUUCUUAAUUAAUGCUAAUCUCGUACUGAUGUUAUUAGUCCAAACGAGACCAAGAGAUGGUAUUUUGGGAUUUGGAUCUGUGUCAUCCCAUCCCGAAAACCAUUGCGAUUGAUAAUCUAAACUAAACAACCCAAUAGCAUCAUAAUCUCUAGGAAUUCUAUCGCUAACUUGGUUAGCUAUGACAACAGCAGCUUCAUGUUGAUGAGCUAAAGUGCGUAGAGUCAUAGCUAACUUUCCCAAUUGAUUUCCACGUUUGGCAAUAUUAUCUAAAUCUCUAAAAUGACUUUUGGAUCGGUUGUAACGGAGCUCAGCUCUGUAGUUGGAGGCGACACUAUCCAAUAUAACCAACCCAAUUUUAUCCCGAUUGAAUAAAAUCGGCAGUUGAUACUGAAUGAUAUGUUCUUGAGAUUCCAGAUCUGGGCAUAAUAUAGUAUACACCCUAUCUCCUGGAUUUUUUAUAAUUAUGUCUUUCUUAUCAGCUUUGGGAUACCUUUCUGGUAAAUAACGCGCCAGUUCAAAUAAUCGUUUUGUUUCAAGACCGGACUCUGUAGAAAUGAAGACAGCUGCUUUGUUCAUUCCUCCUAAACUGAGAGGUAGUUGAACCAUUAAACAAAGCUGCAUACAAAACUGUGACUUCCCUGAACCGCUUUCACCACAUAUUUCAGUUAACUGUCCUACUGGUAUACCUCCAUGUAGAGUUUCAUCCAACUUUACAUCGCCAGUUGUCAAAUAUUUCGAAGUGACUUUGGAAGCAGAACAUCUUACUGGUUGAAGAAGGAGGGAUAUCUGCUCAAUUAACUGUAAUAACUCACUUUGACUACAAUGUGUGCGUCUUUCUAGCUCAGUAAUAUCCAGCGUUAACAAAUCAACCGUGCUUACUUCUCCUAAAGCUGUCAGUAAUUCCGUCUUUUAAGAUCCCGGUACAAAAACCCAAUAUUUUUUUUUUAUGUGCAAGCUUAUUGAACUACUAAACGCUUACCUAAUUCAAAUGCUGAAGCAAUUUUCUCAUCAAAGUAGAAAUUGUCAACAUAAUUCGAAAU